rnacentral:rRNA from 1 species
CCUACGGGGGGCAGCAGUGAGGAAUAUUGGUCAAUGGUCGGGAGACUGAACCAGCCAAGCCGCGUGAGGGAUGAAGGUACAGAGUAUCGUAAACCUCUUUUGUCAGGGAACAAAGGCGGGGACGUGUCCCGGCCCGGAGAGUACCCGGAGAAAAAGCAUCGGCUAACUCCGUGCCAGCAGCCGCGGUAAUACGGAGGAUGCGAGCGUUAUCCGGAUUUAUUGGGUUUAAAGGGUGCGUAGGCGGGCUUUUAAGUCAGCGGUAAAAAUUCGGGGCUCAACCCCGUCCGGCCGUUGAAACUGGGGGG